rnacentral:rRNA from 1 species
UUUUAAUGAGAGUUUGAUCCUGGCUCAGGACGAACGCUGGCGGCGUGCCUAAUACAUGCAAGUAGAACGCUGAAGCUUGGUGCUUGCACCGAGCGGAUGAGUUGCGAACGGGUGAGUAACGCGUAGGUAACCUGCCUGGUAGCGGGGGAUAACUAUUGGAAACGAUAGCUAAUACCGCAUAAAA